ACAAAAACAACAACAAGAACAACACAAUAACAACAACAAUGACAACAUCGAUAUCAACGAUAACAACAGCAACAAGAAAAAUACCGAAGACGACGACGACGACAACAACAACCACCACAAAAAUGACAACAACCAUAACAAAAACAACGAAAACAACAACAACAACAACAACAACGACAACAAUAGCAACAACAACAACAAAAACAAAAA
rnacentral:lncRNA from 1 species